rnacentral:rRNA from 1 species
ACGCUCGACACCUACGGGAGCAGCAGUGGGGAAUAUUGCGCAAUGGGGGCAACCCUGACGCAGCAACGCCGCGUGAUUGAAGAAGGCCUGGUGUAAGANUUAUNGGNGAAANANAGACUGAAGAAUAAGACUCCGGCGUAACUACGUGCCAGUAGCCGCGGUAAGUCUGAGGCGGGCGUGGCGAAGGC